CAGCAGAAGCUGUCUGCAUUUGCAAGCGGUUGAGAAACACAAGAGGGAUGAAGAAGGGAUCUGAAACGCUAAAAAAGGAAGGGUGGGGAGAGAUAGUAUCGGGAGCGGUUCUUUCACUCUACAAAUCUCUUCCAAAGAAAGGGAAGCCUCAAGGCCGAGAAUCCACCGUUUUAGCUGCUUUCGUCAUUUCAUCUCCUUCUCAAGACUUGGAAGUAGUGGCACUGGGAACUGGAACUAAAUGUCUUGGGGGAUCACUAUUGAGCUCACAUGGUGAUGUUGUAAACGACUCACACGCAGAAAUCAUUGCACGAAGAGCCCUCAUCAGGUUCUUUUAUACAGAGAUUGGACGUCUUCAGAACAUUCACAAUAGCCAUAGAUCUAGUGGAAACGAACAAUUGCAAGUUGAUGAUUCUACAAGCUUGUUUUUUCUCUCAGGGACAGAUUUUCCUGGCCAAGGAAAAUACAAAAUGAGACCAGGCUGGAAAUUGCAUCUAUAUAUCACACAAAUGCCAUGUGGGGACGCAUCAAUGACUUCACCAUUGUCAUCAUUGAGUGAUGAGCCCCAACCAGAAGGGGAUAUGCUGUCUACACUCAAAGCCCCAGGUUCUAUGGGAGUUAGUGGAAUGGUUCAAAGAAAGCCUGGUCGUGGUGAUACAACUUUAUCAAUGAGCUGCUCUGACAAGAUAGCCCGCUGGAACGUUGUGGGGGUUCAAGGAGCUUUGCUUUCUUACUUUGUAGAACCGGUGUACCUGUCUUCCAUAACUAUCGGGCAGUCUCCUAGCGAUACUUCUCAACUUCUCUUUUAUAAUCAUUUGAAAAGGGUCCUGUGUGAUCAUAUCCUUCCAUUAUCUAACAAACUGUCUCGGCCUUUCCUGGUGAACGAGCCUCAGUUUUGGGAGGCUCCCGUACCACCAAAGGAGUUUCAGCAAUCCCAAACGGAUAUUCCAACCUUAACAUGCGGCAAAACAGUGAAAUUAUUGGAAUCUUCAAUUCUCAGGUAUUCAAUCUGCUGGAACAAGUCUGGUUUGCAUGAGGUCAUCCUUGGAACAACUGGCAGAAAGCAAGGUACCUCAGCAAAAGGGGCACGAUACCCAUCUACGGAAUCGUCUUUAUGCAAGAGGCGACUGUUGGAGCUUUUCAUUUCAUUAAGAUGUGAAGGCUCUACUGGAUCCCUAGUGGAGGAGACUUCUUAUCAUGAGUUGAAGGCCAUGGUUCAUGAUUAUACUUCUGCACUGAGGGUGCUGAAAGAUAGCCCGGCUUUUAGAGAUUGGCCUCCAAAACCUUUGGCCCUCGAGUCAUUUUCUAUUUCCCGAUAGUGAGAGUCCAUGUCUAUGGAGACUCUCUCUCAUGGUCCAUAUCAAAGGAGGCCCCACAUCUAAUGUAGACGGUCCACAUAAAAGGUUCACAUUCAGGAGCUUGGGAUCGAAGUCACUAUACUCGGGUGUCAAUUUUUGGGGCAUGACAUAGAUGGACCGAGAGUUCCGGACGCCUGUGUCGAAGAAGUUCCUGCGCUCAUAAGUUAGGUGGGGCCCACCAAGAGUUGGUCUUUCAAUAAUGAUUUUUUUAGAAGGGGAUCUCGGUUCGAUGUAAUGGUUGAUGCAUUUUUUAUUUCUUCCUCAGAGUCAAAGGAACCAUGUUGUAUGAUUAUGGGAGGACCCAACUUUUCUACAACUCCUUCCAUCUUGUUUGGUUGAGACGAUCUUGCUUGGAAACUCAAUGGUAGUGUCAACACUAUAUUGUAAUAUAAUACAAUUGGUGGUAACGACCCAAAUUGUAUUACCAAAUUCAGACACUGCCCCUAGGUGUUUCCGAAUUCG